CCUACGGGAGGCAGCAGUGAGGAAUAUUGGUCAAUGGACGGAAGUCUGAACCAGCCAAGCAGCGUGAAGGAAGACGGCUCUAUGAGUUGUAAACUGCUUUUGUACAAGGGUAAACCUGAAUACGUGUAUUCAGCUGAAAGUACUGUACGAAUAAGGAUCGGCUAACUCCGUGCCAGCAGCCGCGGUAAUACGGAGGAUCCAAGCGUUAUCCGGAUUUAUUGGGUUUAAAGGGUGCGUAGGCGGAUUGAUAAGUUAGAGGUGAAAGGUUCGAGCUUAACUCGGGAACUGCCUCUAAUACUGUUGAUCUAGAGAGUAGAUGCGGUAGGCGGAAUGUAUGGUGUAGCGGUGAAAUGCUUAGAUAUCAUACAGAACACCGAUUGCGAAGGCAGCUUACCAAUCUAUAACUGACGUUGAGGCACGAAAGCGUGGGGAGCAAACAGGAUUAGAUACCCGAGUAGUC
rnacentral:rRNA from 1 species